rnacentral:misc_RNA from 1 species
AAGUCGUAACAAGGUUUCCGUAGGUGAACCUGCGGAAGGAUCAUUACAGAGUUCAUGCCCUCACGGGUAGACCUCCCACCCUUGUGUUAUCAUACUAUGUUGCUUUGGCGGGCCGCGUGGCUCACGCCGUGCCCUGGGCUCUCGGGCCUGGGUGCGCCCGCCAGAGGAAACCUAAACUCUGAAUGUUAGUGUCGUCUGAGUACUAUAUAAUAAUUAAAACUUUCAACAACGGAUCUCUUGGUUCUG